UACGUAGGGUGCAAGCGUUGUCCGGAAUUAUUGGGCGUAAAGAGCUCGUAGGCGGCUUGUCGCGUCGGCUGUGAAAACCUGGGGCUCAACCCCGGGCCUGCAGCCGAUACGGGCAGACUAGAGUCAGGUAGGGGAGAACGGAAUUCCUGGUGUAGCGGUGAAAUGCGCAGAUAUCAGGAGGAACACCGGUGGCGAAGGCGAUGGUCUGGGCCUGAACUGACGCUGAGGAGCGAAAGCCAGGGGAGCAAACGGG
rnacentral:rRNA from 1 species